rnacentral:rRNA from 1 species
CGGAUAAUCUUCAUGUUUAACUUCAUGGGGUAAAGGUGGCCUCUGCUUGCAAGCUACCACAUCAAGAUGAGCCCGCGUCUCAUUAGCUAGUUGGUAGGGUAAUGGCCUACCAAGGCUACGAUGAGUAGCUGGUCUGAGAGGAUGACCAGCCACACUGGGACUGGAACACGGCCCAGACUCCUACGGGAGGCAGCAGUGGGGAAUAUUGCGCAAUGGGCGAAAGCCUGACGCAGCGACGCCUCGUGAGGGAUGAAGGUCUUCGGAUCGUAAACCUCUGUCAAGAGGGAAGAAACCCUUGGAUUCGAAUAGGGUCCUUGGCUGACGGUACCUCAAAAGGAAGCACCGGCUAACUCCGUGCCAGCAGCCGCGGUAAUACGGAGGGUGCAAGCGUUAAUCGGAAUC